GGGAUUCAUUAUUACAUCCUCCCUUUAAAAUAAAUUUAUUUUUUGCAGAGAUAUGGCAAUUAAUUGCCCUCAACGAUUACUUUUUGUAAAUGUAACUGGUAGUCACUGCAUUUUUUUACAGUGGCAUCUUUAUUUUACAAAAUUAACAAAAAUUAACAGAACGAAUUUGUAUUAAUUUCGUAAAAUAAAUAUACAAUUAUUUCUGCAAAAAAAUAAAGCGAAAAUGGAUAACCAAAAGGAAACCAGUCACAGAAAACCAUAAGCAUAUUAUCGAGAAUAAAAAGUCAGAUUCCGUCGUUUGGAGAAGAAGCAGUCUGGAAGAAAAUUGAAGAUGAUUUUGCGGCCAGCAUGGAAUUACGACGACCUUGAAAAGCACUGCUUGAUAAAUACGAGGUUUUAAAACGCUUGUAAAAUACGUAUGAUAGUGAUUUCGUGGUUGAACCUGAUUACAUUGACUACAGUGAGUUAAAUGCAUCUAAUGAAUUUAUUGAGGAAAGCAAUAAAGAAAAUAACAACUCGAUGAAUAUUUCAACAGAAAGAAAGGUCAACCGACUUUUGCCCACAGACUUUAAAAAAGCCUAAAUCGAAAGAACUGGUUCACGGCGGCAAAAGAAAACGCAACCUAGAGGAAGAAAAACUUGAACUUGUUCUUUUACAACAGAGCUUUAACAGGAACGAGAAUAUUCGUGCUCAGGAGAAGCAUGAAAACGAAGAAAUGCGUGCUCAAGAAAAGCAUGAACACGAAAUAUCUUCAUUGAGACUGGAGAAUGAAAUUUUGCAGUUAGAGUUGGAGGAAAAGAGGUUAAAAUUUUUAGAGUAAUUCAAAUGUAUUUUAUAAUUGUAAAUGUAUUUUGUAAAUAUAAGCAAUAUUGUUAGCUAUUCAGCACUUAAAAGA
rnacentral:sRNA from 1 species